rnacentral:misc_RNA from 1 species
UGAACGAGCACAGCCUCUCCAU